GCCCUAUUCCCUGCUUUCUACCAACCCCAAACAAAGAAACAGGUUGGUGGUUGCCCAUUGUCAUCUCAUGUUCGUACAAGCAAAUACAGAGCCCACAAAUUUACUGAACUGGGUGUAUGUCUUGCAGCUCUUAUUAGCAGGUUUAAUCCUUCCGUGCAGUAUUACUCUUCCCUUCGAAACAGCAGUGCAGUGCCAAGAAGUGGGACCCUAGAUCUCUUAGAUCAAGCAAAAGAAAUUGUGAAGAACAUGAAAGGGAGCCAGCAGACAGAUUACCAACGCGACUGGAAGCUCAUCACAAUUUUUCAUCCAUGUCCUUUCCAAGCUUCCAUCUCUCAG